ensembl:lncRNA
CUUACUGUUGAUAUACUUGUAAAAGAGUUUCUUGUUCCCUUUCACCCCAGCAGCCAGGUUGAGUUGAAUGGUUGAGAUGGGCACCAGGGAAAAGGAGGAUGAGAUAGGUAUGUGAACUGGGGUUUCCAGUGGAGAGGAACAAGAUGAGCUGAAGAGGUGAUUCAAGAUAGCUGGCGUGGCUUUGUUAAGGGCAGAUUGUACCUGACCAAUCUGGUGGCUUUCUGUGGUGGAGUAAUGGCAUCGGUGGACAGGGGAAGGGCAACGCGUGUCAUCUAUCUGGAGUUCCGCAAAGCCUUUGACGUGGUCCCUCACCACAUCGUUCUCUCUAAACUGGGGAGGUGUGGAUUUGAAGGAUGGACUGUUCAGUGGAUUAGGAACUGGCUGAUUGGACGCAGCCAAAGGGUUGUGAUGAAUGGUUCUGUGUCAGGGUGGAGGCUGUGUAUGGAAGUGUGACUGCUACCUUUCUUGGGUGAUGUGAAACUGAUAGAAGGCAGCUGUAUCUACUGUCUCCUAUUCUUAAAAACAGUUACUGGGAUUUUUCAUUGUUCUUGCUGACUGUUCUGUUGAACGUAAAUAAGAUGGAGGUCACUUUCUUUUUUUUUUUUUUUUUUUUUGGCUGUAGCUUCUAAAAAAAUGGGUUUUUUUUGAUUAAAAAAUACUCUAGAACUAAUUUGUCGUGUUCUGUGGAAUGCUUUUUUUUCCCUUGAUACUGUAUAUAUUGUUGCCUGUUGACCAAAAUGUGAAAAACAUGCCCACUUGGUACAGGCAAUAAGGGAGGUGAAGUACUGGAGAGGGAAUAAAUGAAAAAUCUAAUGAAUGAGAGAAUGUAAAUGUGUUACGUCCUUAAUACAUAAAUAAGGUGGUUAUGUUCCUAAGGCCUUUAGAUCUUAAGAAGUAUUGAUUUAACUUCCUGUUUAGUGUUAUGCAAAGGUCAUAUUCAUAUUUCCUUUGUCUAGAAGAUACUCUACUUUGCUUGAUAGUAUUUGAUGAAUACAGCACUUAACAUUCAUUAUGUGGUGAAGAUAAGAAAGUUGAAAACAGCUCAGAGGACUGCAGAAUGAUUGCCUUAUAAUGCCCACAGCUACGUCACCGGAAUAAAAUGGGUGGUGAUGUUCAGCUAUUGCCCCUGAUCAUCAGAAAAGAAUGGUGCCAUUGGAAAUAUCUGCACCAGAAAAAACUCUUAUCAAAUUAAGGGACUACUUUGAAGAAAAAAUCAUCAACAACAACAAGACAAGAAUGUAUAUCAGGGAAAAAAAAGCAAACAUGUUAAACUGUGUGUCAGUGGAUUUGCUAAUGUGGGUGCUCAGCUUACAGGUGAGAGAUGAUAGUACAAAAAUGGGUAGUACAAUUUUGUCUGUCUGCUUUACCUAUGGUGAUGAUGGUGUGCACGAAUGUGAGCUUUUCAGCUGCAUUUAGAAACCUGGAGGACUUCCUAUUAGGUCUGCUCUGUUAGUGCCUCCUUCUUUAGUGUGUUGGACUGUAAUGUUGGAAGUGGAUGUUGGUGGUAGAUUUUGAACCUUCCUGUCAGUGCCCCAUGACUUCUGUUGCUGUCUGCAGUCUGACAGAAUGGUGCCUGAUAUGGGAGCGUGGAUGAGGCACAGGUGUGUCACUGAACAAUGUCACAGCACUGACAAUGUCAUUACAGGGAGCCGAAAGUUGUUUCAUACCACAUGGACUGAGUAGACAUGAAACUGAAGCUUCACCACUGCCAGAGUAUGACCACAUGUAGAACACAUUUAAAAAUACUAGGUAAAAGGAAUGAAUAUUUUACUAGGAGUAAUCCAGCAGGCUGCUUAGGAUAGCAGGAAUUUCUGAUUUUAAGGUCGAUGUUUAGUCAGUCAGUUGAGAUUUCUUGACUUGGAUUUGUGCAUUGGGUUGGCCACAUGGUGAAUAAUAAGUAAGCUUACUGCAGGAAGGCAAUAUUGACAUGCAGGCUCAAAUGUCAAAUGUUGGUUUCUAGAUCAGUGUGAGCAUGCUCUGAGUACUUGACCUGAGACUCUGUCGUGGUGGGCAAGGGUAGGAUUUUCAGUCAGCCUCCUCUUCUGUCUUUCAAAUUGUGACCUGAAAUUUGCUGACCCUGUCAGAAGUGCCAGUUGUUUGUUUUUGUUGCUCUUAGAGGGUUGGUUUGUUCUAGCUGUCUCUGAGCUAUGCCUUCUCAAGUGUAUAGGGAGAGCCGGUGAGAUGCUAGUUGUCCAUGACUGAGUAAUCAGCUUUGACUGGUCUGGAAGGGAAACGUUUCUCAGGGCUUUGGUGUGGAGGAGGCCUUUGGGGUCCUGGUGGACCAGAAGGUGGACGGGAGCCGGCAGUGCAUGCUUGCAGCCUGGAAGGCCAACUCUAUCCCGGGCUGCAUUAAAAAUGAUGGGACGUUCCCCUUUAUUUUUGCCCCUUUUUGUACACUUUUGCUGAUUCCCUGAGUCCUGUUUCUUAGCUCCAGAAUUCCACUGUCUCCUUCCCAAGGGUCAACAGGUAUUUGUCGACGGGGUCUAACGCCUCUCAUGCACGAAGAAGACAUUUGGGAAUUGGGAUGGAUUUUAUUGACAUGAUUGGUGACAGGGUGACAAUGGUGACAGACCCCUCAUGCUUGUGCAGACCCAAUGGUGUCCCGAUGAAGGGCCGCAGUGUGUUGUGGGGUCAGAAAAGAGCGGGCUUAGGUGGACGGAUGCCAAGGGCAGUCGCCAGCUCUCCAGGCAGGACCCAGCGAAGGAUGUCCUUCUGCAGCACAAACAGGGUGAAGAAGACAAGCUGCAGCAGGCCCAAGAACAGCAGAAACGCCCUGCGGAACAGAAGAAGGUCCAGUCAGUUUCCGGGGGCACGUUUGUCACAGCACUUUCCAUCCAGCCCUGGCAAAUGGCCCGUGGACAUGUGCCAUACAGGGAGCAAGGGAAUCUGUCGUAGGUCUGCGCAGGGCUGCCAAGAUCGCCACCCCACCUGCUCUCCCACCCAGGACCCUAAGCAAUACUGAAGCAUUUUAUCUCCAAAAAGUCAAAAGCUGCCUGAUGGUCUCUGGACCCCAGGGCGACUCACCGCAGCCAGG